GCUGGUAGCUCAGUGGUUAAGGCUUUGGGCUGCUGACUGAAAGGUUUUGAGUUCAAAACCCAAGCUGGCA